GGAAAAUGAAUUAGAUUUCUACUAGACUUCAACAAGUUACGAUACGGAUAAUUUAAAGAUAUUUGUAAGAUAGAUAUGUCAAAUUUGACGUUUCCGCGAUUCUGGAGGUCCUCUUUAACGAUUUCGACAAGUUAUGACUUAGAUAUCCAAGUCACAUCUAGUCGAUAUAUCUAAUGUAGAUCUAGUUGAUCUCUAAAUCGUCUCAAGAUCUUGUGAUUAUCUCGAAAUCCGAAUAGGCCUGCAAAAAAUUUAGACGAGCUGACACAUUUCAAACUCUUUUCAAUGCUCUAGUACGUUCUCGUCUUGAAUACUGUUGUCAAGUUUGGAAUCCAAGCUACGCAAUUCACAUCAAUCGGUUGGAAAAAGUCCAACGUUCUUUUACUCGAUUCUUAGUGUUUAAGACAAAGACCGAGGGAGUUCGUAAAAACCUAACAUAUGAAGAGAGACUCCAACGGUUUAAAAUGUCUUCUUUACAGCUCAGGCGGUCUUUCCUUGACAUGGCUUUGUUACACAAGUUGUUAAACGGUAAAAUCGCGGAACCUUACCUGCUGGGCGGUUUAAACUUUACAGUACCAAAAGCUUGCACACGGUCUUGUCGUCGCACUAUUUUUCGCCCCAGUUCUACCAGGACUAAACUGGGCAAGUCACUUCCGGUCCAUAGAAUGCAAGUAACAUGGAACAAUCUGUCUCUUGAACAAAACUUUGAAAUAGACAUAUUUAGUGAUUCUAUACAAAAUUUAAAGCGCAGAAUGCUAACAAACUUUUAAUAAGUAAUGUUUACAGUAGUUAUAGUCUUUCAUGCAUGUCUUAAUUACUUAACCUAUUAAUGUAUAGUUAUAGUUUGUAAAGUAGUGUAAAAGCCUCGAACUGUUUGAAUGUUGUUGCACACCUGUUAUUGGUGCAUAAAUAUCAUACGUGUCUGCUGUACUUAUGUAACUUUACUUGCUUUGUUUAUGUACUGUUGGUGUGUCU